CCCAAGCUCAAGAGUUCAAGACUGUCUUUAAAAACUAGCUGGGUGUUGUGGCAGGCACCUGUAGUACCAGCUGCUCAGGAGGCCAAGGCAAGAGGAUCGCUUGAGCCCAGGAGUUUGAGAACAAGAAGGAACAUUGUAUUGAGACCCAUGGACAUUCCGACAGGAGAUCCAGAAAGUUGACCCAAUGUGGAGAGAAGAUAAAUUAUUUUUAAAGAAAAAGAGAAUGCAUCAAGGGAUUCAGUAAUAUUACAGUUUGGGGUUCACCUAAAAAUAACCAGACCGCAGACCUGAGACUGCAGAAGUAUCCUCUGGCCACAGGAAUGCUUUACCACGUAGCCACCCACAUCGCCAGAGGACAAGAAGAUCACAGUUCCGCUCAGAGGGAAUCAAGGACCUUUUGGGGCCUAGGGCUGGGAUAGCAUGCUGCCUGUAGCUCUGUCCCAUCCUGCUCCCUUUCCCAUCUAGUGCUUCUCUUGUGGCCGUCUGGGGUUGUCAGCACAGCAGCUGCCCCUGCACAGUGAGCCCCUUGCCCCGCGUGGCCCUGUGCUCCAGGCUGGCUCCUGCCCCUCCCUGCGAGAUGCCUGGACCUGGGGCUGUGGUUUAUAGGCUGGAGCAUGAGAAAAGCUCGGCUGGUCUCCACCCCAUAUUUGUCAUCCAUGUAGAGGAAGGAACCACCUGAGAGCCCAGGGACUUUCCUCAAGACCUUCAGCCUUUUCUUCUGCCAACUAAACUCCCUUUCUCUUCAAGAGGGAAGGGGCAAGAUUGGGUUUGCAGUGAGAAUGAUGAAGUUGUGAACAAAGUCUUUAGCGCAGAUGGGCCCCUUGAUCUUCAGGUGGGAUGCUCAGGUGAGAUGCACAAGGUGAGCAAAGGUUGUUCUGUAUUUUGCUGGUGAAACGGCAUAACAGACCCCUGAGAAAGUUAUGGGGCAACAUCUUUAAAAUUGAAAGCAUACAUGCUCUUCGAACCAGGAAUCCUCCUUCUAGGAAUCUACCUUUUACUAAGAUGAGUAAAAGCAUCGAUGUUCGUUCAGACCUCCGUCAAGGACACGUGCUGUGCGUGCAGGCAGAAGCCUUGGAACAGUUAAGCCCCAUGGGCAGAGGAAGUCUGAGUAUAGUGAACUGCAGAUGGCUACCAGGAAAACCAACAUGAGAAUGGAGACGAACACAAAUCAGGUCGCGAGCUUGUGUUUUCUUGGGAGAAACUGGCGAGGCUGAAGUUGAUGUGUGAGACAAGCAAUGAGGAGGAGUUGGCCAAGAAACAAAAUAAAAAUAAAUGACGACACUUAAAAAAUUCAAGCAGAUUGGGUUCAAACCCAGCCCCGUCCAAAACCCCCACAAAUAAAUGAAUAAAUAAAUAAAAAUA